rnacentral:rRNA from 1 species
CCUACGGGAGGCAGCAGUGGGGAAUAUUGCGCAAUGGGCGAAAGCCUGACGCAGCGACGCAGCGUGAGGGACGAAGGCCUUCGGGUUGUAAACCUCUUUCAGCGGGGACGAAGCGAAAGUGACGGUACCCGCAGAAGAAGCACCGGCUAACUACGUGCCAGCAGCCGCGGUAAUACGUAGGGUGCGAGCAUUGUCCGGAUUUAUUGGGCGUAAAGAGCUCGUAGGCGGCUUGUCACGUCGGAUGUGAAAACUCGGGGCUCAACCCCGAGCCUGCAUUCGAUACGGGCUAGCUAGAGUGUUGCAGGGGAGACUGGAAUUCCUGGUGUAGCGGUGAAAUGCGCAGAUAUCAGGAGGAACACCGGUGGCGAAGGCGGGUCUCUGGGCAACUACUGACGCUGAGGAGCGAAAGCGUGGGGAGCGAACAGGAUUAGAUACCCUGGUAGUCCACGCCGUAAACGGUGGGCGCUAGGUGUGGGGAACCUUCCACGUUCUCUGUGCCGUAGCUAACGCAUUAAGCGCCCCGCCUGGGGAGGUACGGCCGCGAGACGUAAACUACAANAGAAGUUAGACGGCGUGAGACGUGCCGAACGGACGACGACGAGGGAGGUAGG